GACCUCGGAUCAGGUAGGACUACCCGCUGAACUUAAGCAUAUCAAUAAGCGGAGGAAAAGAAACUAACAAGGAUUCCCCUAGUAACGGCGAGUGAACCGGGAAGAGCUCAAAUUUGUAAUCUGGCGUCCUCCGGGCGUCCGAGUUGUAAUCUACAGAAACGUCUUCCGUGCCGGACCGCGUCCAAGUCCCUUGGAACAGGGUAUCAAAGAGGGUGACAAUCCCGUGCUUGACGCGACGACCGGCGCUCUGUGAUGCGUUCUCUACGAGUCGAGUUGUUUGGGAAUGCAGCUCAAAACGGGUGGUAAAUUCCAUCUAAGGCUAAAUAUUGGUGGGAGACCGAUAGCGAACAAGUACCGUGAGGGAAAGAUGAAAAGCACUUUGGAAAGAGAGUCAAACAGUAUGUGAAAUUGUUGAAAGGA
rnacentral:rRNA from 1 species